CAACCAUUGAGCCACCCAGAUGCCCCUAGACCUGAUUGUUUUUAAGUGUCAAAUGACAAAACUAAACUUAGCAGAGCUGGCUGCCUUUGGUUUGGAUUUAUGACAUGGGCUGGACCACUGGGGUGGCCUCUGUUUUGUGGGUCCCAAUAUACAAAUGAACUUGAUCACAAGGAAUCAAGCAGUGGGAAUAUUUGAGAAAGCUGUCUGUCAUUCUCCAGGGGUUCCGACUUGCAAGGGCUCAACAAUCUACUCAUUUGACUUAUUACCAGGAUGUAUGAUUUUGAGUUCUUAA
rnacentral:lncRNA from 12 species